rnacentral:rRNA from 1 species
CGCGUAGGCGGCCGAUUAAGUCGGGGGUGAAAGCCUGUGGCUCAACCACAGAAUUGCCUUCGAUACUGGUUGGCUUGAGACCGGAAGAGGACAGCGGAACUGCGAGUGUAGAGGUGAAAUUCGUAGAUAUUCACAAGAACACCAGUGGCGAAGGCGGCUGUCUGGUCCGGUUCUGACGCUGAGGCGCGAAAGCGUGGGGAGCAAACA